GCGCGAGUGGCGGAAUUGGUAGACGCGCCAGCUUGAGGGGCUGGUGACCGCUUUAGGUCGUGGAAGUUCAAGUCUUCUCUCGCGCACCA
rnacentral:tRNA from 1 species